UGUGGAAAAUCAAGUAAGAGCAUAUCCAUGUUUACUUAUUAGUUUGUUUUCUGAGAAUGGUACGGGAUUUACAAACUGAAAAAACAUUAAUAGUUUGAAAAUUAUUUUAAACCAAAAUCAUUUGAAAUUUUUGUUAUAAUAUGUUGUUUGACUGAUUGCAAUGUUGUUUUAGUGGUAAUUUUUUUCAACUUCUAAGCAUAUAUUUAUUUUUUGUACACCCGGUGCAACGCACGAGCCAUUUUGCUAGUAUAUCCCUAAUUAUUUUAAUAAUAAAGCAUGGAUUGAUUCCGUGGGUUCACCGUCACAAUACGCUUUCUUCUCAUGUCAUAAUACGCUUUUAUAAUUUGUAUGGACAAAAUAGUAAUAUAAAUGAGGCGGUACUAAUCUACCGUCUGACGCCCGUCUCAAAGUCCAAACAUAACUCCUCCUUCCCCCGCCGUAUUUUAUGCCAACGCAUCCUACCCUCCUCUUGAAACAGGCCCGCACGAAUCCUUCCUCCCUCGCAUGUCCAUCACCGCCGCCGCCAGCACCGGCCACCACGCCCCAAGCACGGGACAGAUCUAGGAAUCAGGAGGGGAUGGACGGAGUAUGGCGAACAGGCCGACGGGGAUGUGCUCUCUCCUCCCGCUACCAAGGCCCGUGGGCGGGGCGCCCGACCUCUAGACGACGGUGGCGAUAACCAAGGACGGAUGUGCAUCCUGGCAUCUCAACUCAAGAUGAUCAAGUGAGGUCUGCAUAGGGUGGUGGCUGGCGGGUUGGACGCGCUGAACUUCGGCGGCGGCCGGAUCCAGGCGAGCGGCGACGAGACCUUGCAAGGCGUCGGGGUUCUCCGGGGCGGCACCAUGGUUGCUCCAGCGUGCUCCUGUAAGAAAAGGAGGGAGGACGAGGGAGAGGGAGAGAGAAAACCGGGAGGAAGGAGAGAAACGAGGGGAGGCACGACAGGGAGCUGUGCUGCUAGUUUCUCCGGUGAAGAGCAGAUAGGGCACGGACGUUCGCGGGAGUGGGCGGCGUUUGGCGACGGAGGCGCUGGUCGGGGAGCGCGUGGUGCGAGCUCCUAGGGGGAGAUGGACAAGGACGAGGACGGUCUGGUGCGCUGCUGGUGCGGGGAGGGCAUGGGAGAGGGACGAUUGCUCUGUAUGUUGUGCGCUGCUGCAGCUGCUAAUCUCAUGUGGAGGACGCGCAGGGGCAGGCGGCGAGCGAAUUGAAUCUGGGAAUUCACCCAGGGAAGCAACAUAUAAUCUUCUGAUCUUUGUCUUGCCUCCAGUGCAAGUUCAGUUUGUCCAGCAGUGCUCUUGACAAAUUUCUAGAAUGAAGAAUGAAAUACUUGGAGAUAGGCUACCAAUUCGGUGUUGAACUGAGGUUUACACACAUUGGUGCACAUGAUGUGUCAAUCAAACAUACUAUAGCCCUCAUAUAAUGGUUGUUGCUGUUUGCAAAGUAAGAAUUGAAUGAUGCAAAGAGAUUUAUGCUGUAGAAGAACUUCCAAGGUAGUCUCCGAAGCCCUUUCAUUGGAAUUUGACAAAAUUCCCAACCACAUAGGUCACACACAAUUUAAGCCUCCAUGGUACUAAAAAUGCCAUGUCUGUCGGUCCUUUGUUUAGAAAUGUUUUAGUCACAUAUUCUUAUGUAAUUACCGUAUGACAAAAAUAGCACUUCAGGCCCUUAUUAACCGUGUUUCUCCUUUGUUUUGGUCUUCUCUUAAUUUGUUUGUUUGCUUAAGGAUGCCCCUAAUUUUCUAUAAGAUUACAAUGGCUUAAAUAGCAUGUAGAUUUAAUAAACCGAAUAAUUGAUUGUUGGUGUUGUUUCUAGCGUAUCACAUAUAGUAGCAGAGACUCAGCAUGGGGGACUGCCGCUUGAAGAGAUGCAAAUGUUGCAACUUCACCAGAGGUUCUAUGUUGGAGUUCUGUGUGUCAGUGGUUCAAGUUCACAAGGAUUGGCACCAUGGACUGGAGAAUCGUCGCAACCAUCAUGGACACACCAGGGGCAGGGGCUGCAUGCAGCCAAGUCCGAGGCGACUGCCAAGAAGACUGGGCUCGAUGUAGUGACCGAGGAGGCGCAUGCCGCAGGAGAAGCCGAUUAUUCUGUUUGCACGACGGGUAUCCAAAAUUCUAAUUCAGACAUUAGUGAUGAUAUAACAAUGUCGUCCGCCAAAUUGUGAUUCGGGCGAGCCUAGCUUAGCUGGGAGCCACCGAAGAUUGUGUGGUGCACGGGAGAUAGAGACUCCACCGGAUAUUUUGUCGUGUCCACUAACAACAACGACAUGGAUAGUGAGCUCACUGCUGGACAUGAUUGCCCUAUUUAUAAUCUGUUGGGUAGUCCUAUUUGGUGGAUUGUAUCUAUAGCAUGUUGAAAGCAAAUGUAACCUCAUUGAUUUUCACAUUACUCUUCAGUAUAUCUGAUCUUUCUCUACAAGGAGCCUACAGUUUGUAAUGUUGUAUUUCUUUUGUGAGACCUCCACGAGCUGUCUAUGAACCAUAUAUGCAGUAGACGUUCCCAUAUGUAUUUAUUCGAUUUCGA